ACAUCAAAUUCAAUUCCCUCAACGUAUACAUGGAAGAAUCUUCAUUCGCGUUGACGGCAUUGUGCUUCAUGUGUUCGAUUUGUGAAGCGAAAAUAAUAAUAGACAAUGAAAUCAUGGAAAUAUCAGGAAAUUUAUAUAAAAACAGCUGAUGAAGGUUCAGUACGACGUGUUUUAAUUAGUAAAUUAACAAGAAGUAAAAUUUUUCAUUCAAAUUUUGACAAUUUAAAACUGCCUCCGGGCCUACAAAACCGAUAAAGAUUAAUUUGCCUCCCAAAAUGGUUAUCGCCACCAGACGUCGACACUGUCAUUCGUCAUCGAGGAUAAAGUGACAGCCAAGGUGUCCAGUUGCUGAAAAUGUGUAUGAACGCACAGCACCAGUCAACUGGUGAUCUAAAUAUGGCGUACCGUUGACGUUCAAGUAACUGGCGCCAAUUACUGGUUAAUGUGUAAAUCAGCUAUUAGGUCGGACCAACUUUUUCGAUUCAACCUAGCAUGUCGAGUCACGCGCGAUAUAUGUUGGCAACUUUUUCGUUCAAUUUCUGUUGAAAUUUUUAAUUCUGCGUUCGUUGAGUUUCAAUGUUUGUCAGUAGUAAUAACAAACAGUGUUUUCAAGAUUUGCCCAGUUUAUAAUAAUACGAACGAAACGUGGAACAAACUGAAAGAGGAUUUCGAAUGGAGAAUGACCUAUGUUGGGGAGCCAAAUUGAGCCGUCAAAUUCUCAAACUCCGAUAGCUUCAUUUCCAGGCCCCAACAUCGAAGGGAAAAUUUCCUUUCCCCCACAUAAGACACAAACUCCGCUACCGUCGGCGAAAACAAAAAGUACACAUCCACUCAAAUUUCGACGACAAUCCAAAUGCGUAAACACUCAAAGUGCAAUCACAUAUGCUACCGACAUUCCUUCACAAACAAACAUAUCACAUCCGUGUAAUUCCAUUUCACAUUAAUUACAAUUCACAUGUAAAAACUCAAUUUAUAUUUACAUAUCACAACGUUUAGAUUUUACAUUAUAUUUACAGUUACAGGUAUUUCACCUCACAAAUUACAUCUAUUAAAUUAAAUGUCACCACUGGCGGACCAUCUCGGACUACUUUCGCUCCGCUAUUUACAAUUUUUGUUGUGCGUUGUUGUUGAUGUUGAUCCUACUCUGUGUCAUAUUUCACGAUCUCCAAUCUACGAUGAAGUGAUGAAUAAUUCACCAACGUGACCGCUUCGUUCGUGAUGAGAUCCCAGAAGGAGAGAACGGCAAAUCACAUUGUUUUUUCCGUUCUCCUAUCGCACAUGUGGGAUACACAAUUCCUGCUGUAUAUGAUCAGCUGAUGUAGACCUUGCAGUUCAUUAUUCUCCAGCAGGCAGCCGUCUCGAUUAUGUAAUCGUGUGUACCAGGCCUGUAUUUUGGGGAGCUGCUACUACUCAUAAACAGUCUAUGUAGGAUCAGCCGAAUCGGAAGAGUACAAUCAGGUUCUUGGCACGAUAUAUGUUGGUCCGGUACCAGUGGGGAGACACAUUAUUUCAAGCAGACAUACAUUCCCAAUGUGACACGUACUCCGGAGCUAGACGCAGUGACUCUUCACACUUGUUCAUAUUGUGGUCAAGGAUUCGUGCGAGCCGGUUACGUUAUAAAUAAUUAAUACUCAGAAAUAGAGAGAGAAUGGAAUGACCACUGAGUACAAUCCGAGUGAUGCUUGAAUUGAUGUUGCUUUAAACAUUGCCAGAAUCAUAACGGAACAGUAGAGAACAAUUCAGCAUUACUGCCAGAAUUUAGCAGAAAUUCGAACUCGUGGCCGACGGAAUAUUGGACAUAAAUAUGUUUACUAGAAUGAUCCAUUUUUUCAAUUGUUUUGGAUUGAUGCGGAACCUAAAUAAAGUCUACUGUCGAAUGGCAGCGCGUCAUA